AGAUGGGUGCUCAUGGUGGCCUCCAAAUAAAUACAUGGACAGGCUGCUAAAGAGGGUCAGGAUGAUGGAGAUGCAAGAGCCAAAGACAGCACAGACCAAACACCAGGCCAGAAUUCUGCAUGAGUCAGAUUGAGUAAUUUUCACUCUAGAGACCCUGGGGUGACCACCAAGGACGAAUGCAAACUCCAGUGAGUGUCUUUUAAGAGCUAUCCCCUGAGUUUCUUUGUCUUCCAGCUACAAAAGUCCCAAAGGCUCUUUAAAGAGCUAUUCCCUGAGGGUCUUUGCCUUCGUAAGUAUACGUUUUGACUGACUGUCAAGAUACCUUCAACGUUUUAAUUGAUCCAAACUCAAAUACAAUGUC